rnacentral:rRNA from 1 species
AGAGUUUGAUCCUGGCUCAGAUUGAACGCUGGCGGCAUGCUUUACACAUGCAAGUCGAACGGCAGCACGGGGGCAACCCUGGUGGCGAGUGGCGAACGGGUGAGUAAUACAUCGGAAUGUAUCCUUGAGUGGGGGAUAACGCAGCGAAAGUUGUGCUAAUACCGCAUGAGCUCUGAGGAGGAAAGUGGGGGACCGUAAGGCCUCACGCUGAAGGGGCGGCCGAUGUCCGAUUAGCUAGUUGGUGAGGUAAAGGCUCACCAAGGCUUCGAUCGGUAGCUGGUCUGAGAGGAUGAUCAGCCACACUGGGACUGAGACACGGCCCAGACUCCUACGGGAGGCAGCAGUGGGGAAUUUUGGACAAUGGGGGCAACCCUGAUCCAGCCAUGCCGCGUGAGUGAAGAAGGCCUUCGGGUUGUAAAGCUCUUUCGUGAGGGAAGAAACGGCCAUAGUGAAUAGUUGUGGUUACUGACGGUACCUCAAGAAGAAGCACCGGCUAACUACGUGCCAGCCGCCGCGGU